GGUUAAGCGACUAAGCGUACACGGUGGAUGCCCUGGCAGUCAGAGGCGAUGAAGGACGUGCUAAUCUGCGAAAAGCGCCGGCGAGGUGAUAUGAACCCUUGACCCGGCGAUGUCCGAAUGGGGAAACCCAGUGUGAUUCGUCACACUAUCGUUAACUGAAUACAUAGGUUAACGAGGCGAACCGGGGGAACUGAAACAUCUAAGUACCCCGAGGAAAAGAAAUCAACCGAGAUUCCCCCAGUAGCGGCGAGCGAACGGGGAGCAGCCCGGAGUCUGAAUCAGCUUGUGUGUUAGUGGAACGGUCUGGAAAGUCCGACGGUACAGGGUGAUAGUCCCGUACACGAAAGCACACUUGCUGUGAACUCGAAGAGUAGGGCGGGACACGUGGUAUCCUGUCUGAAUAUGGGGGGACCAUCCUCCAAGGCUAAAUACUCCUGACUGACCGAUAGUGAACCAGUACCGUGAGGGAAAGGCGAAAAGAACCCCGGCGAGGGGAGUGAAAAAGAACCUGAAACCGUGUACGUACAAGCAGUGGGAGCACCUUCGUGGUGUGACUGCGUACCUUUUGUAUAAUGGGUCAGCGACUUAUAUUCUGUAGCAAGGUUAACCGUAUAGGGGAGCCGAAGGGAAACCGAGUCUUAACUGGGCGUUAAGUUGCAGGGUAUAGACCCGAAACCCGGUGAUCUAGCCAUGGGCAGGUUGAAGGUUGGGUAACACUAACUGGAGGACCGAACCGACUAAUGUUGAAAAAUUAGCGGAUGACCUGUGGCUGGGGGUGAAAGGCCAAUCAAACCGGGAGAUAGCUGGUUCUCCCCGAAAGCUAUUUAGGUAGCGCCUCGUGAACUCAUCUUCGGGGGUAGAGCACUGUUUCGGCUAGGGGGCCAUCCCGGCUUACCAACCCGAUGCAAACUACGAAUACCGAAGAAUGUUAUCACGGGAGACACACGGCGGGUGCUAACGUCCGUCGUGAAGAGGGAAACAACCCAGACCGCCAGCUAAGGUCCCAAAGUCAUGGUUAAGUGGGAAACGAUGUGGGAAGGCACAGACAGCCAGGAUGUUGGCUUAGAAGCAGCCAUCAUUUAAAGAAAGCGUAAUAGCUCACUGGUCGAGUCGGCCUGCGCGGAAGAUGUAACGGGGCUAAACCAUGCACCGAAGCUGCGGCAGCGACACUAUGUGUUGUUGGGUAGGGGAGCGUUCUGUAAGCCGUUGAAGGUGUGCUGUGAGGCAUGCUGGAGGUAUCAGAAGUGCGAAUGCUGACAUAAGUAACGAUAAAGCGGGUGAAAAGCCCGCUCGCCGGAAGACCAAGGGUUCCUGUCCAACGUUAAUCGGGGCAGGGUGAGUCGACCCCUAAGGCGAGGCCGAAAGGCGUAGUCGAUGGGAAACAGGUUAAUAUUCCUGUACUUGGUGUUACUGCGAAGGGGGGACGGAGAAGGCUAUGUCAGCCGGGCGACGGUUGUCCCGGUUUAAGCAUGUAGGCGGAGGUUCCAGGUAAAUCCGGUACCUUAUUAACGCUGAGGUGUGAUGACGAGGCACUACGGUGCUGAAGUGAUAAAUGCCCUGCUUCCAGGAAAAGCCUCUAAGCAUCAGGUAACACGAAAUCGUACCCCAAACCGACACAGGUGGUCAGGUAGAGAAUACCAAGGCGCUUGAGAGAACUCGGGUGAAGGAACUAGGCAAAAUGGUGCCGUAACUUCGGGAGAAGGCACGCUGAUGUGUAGGUGAAGUCCCUGCGGACGGAGCUGAAAUCAGUCGAAGAUACCAGCUGGCUGCAACUGUUUAUUAAAAACACAGCACUGUGCAAACACGAAAGUGGACGUAUACGGUGUGACGCCUGCCCGGUGCCGGAAGGUUAAUUGAUGGGGUUAGCUGUAAGGCGAAGCUCUUGAUCGAAGCCCCGGUAAACGGCGGCCGUAACUAUAACGGUCCUAAGGUAGCGAAAUUCCUUGUCGGGUAAGUUCCGACCUGCACGAAUGGCGUAAUGAUGGCCAGGCUGUCUCCACCCGAGACUCAGUGAAAUUGAACUCGCUGUGAAGAUGCAGUGUACCCGCGGCAAGACGGAAAGACCCCGUGAACCUUUACUAUAGCUUGACACUGAACACUGGUCCUUGAUGUGUAGGAUAGGUGGGAGGCUUUGAAGCGUGGACGCCAGUCUGCGUGGAGCCGUCCUUGAAAUACCACCCUUUAAUGGCUGGUGUUCUAACGUAGACCCGUAAUCCGGGUUGCGGACAGUGUCUGGUGGGUAGUUUGACUGGGGCGGUCUCCUCCCAAAGAGUAACGGAGGAGCACGAAGGUUGGCUAAUCCUGGUCGGACAUCAGGAGGUUAGUGCAAUGGCAUAAGCCAGCUUGACUGCGAGCGUGACGGCGCGAGCAGGUGCGAAAGCAGGUCAUAGUGAUCCGGUGGUUCUGAAUGGAAGGGCCAUCGCUCAACGGAUAAAAGGUACUCCGGGGAUAACAGGCUGAUACCGCCCAAGAGUUCAUAUCGACGGCGGUGUUUGGCACCUCGAUGUCGGCUCAUCACAUCCUGGGGCUGAAGUAGGUCCCAAGGGUAUGGCUGUUCGCCAUUUAAAGUGGUACGCGAGCUGGGUUUAGAACGUCGUGAGACAGUUCGGUCCCUAUCUGCCGUGGGCGCUGGAGAAUUGAGGGGGGCUGCUCCUAGUACGAGAGGACCGGAGUGGACGCAUCACUGGUGUUCGGGUUGUCAUGCCAAUGGCACUGCCCGGUAGCUAAAUGCGGAAGAGAUAAGUGCUGAAAGCAUCUAAGCACGAAACUUGCCCCGAGAUGAGUUCUCCCUGAGACUUUAAGUCUCCUGAAGGAACGUUAAAGACGAUGACGUUGAUAGGUCGGGUGUGUAAGCGCAGCGAUGCGUUGAGCUAACCGAUACUAAUGAACCGUGAGGCUUAACCUU
rnacentral:rRNA from 1 species